UAUUAUUAAGUUUUAAAGGAACCAACUUGUAGCUUUUGGACGGUAGUAGAAUUGGAGCUCAGCUGGUUUCUGCUUCUACUUCUGCUUCGCUUCUUUUGUCAGUGUUUGGGUUCUCUGUAAAAGGAAAUGGAGGGUUUACUACUACCUCCCUCCUUGCACUCCUGCUUGCAGAUAAUAAAUAUUUACAGUUUACUCUUUUUUGCAAUUUUCUUGUUUUGUAUAUUAUUGAUUAUUAAUGUUUUUAUUAUUUGCUACCUUCGAUUAAUGCUUAUGGGAUGGUGUUAAACAUUCCAUGUGCCUUAGAAUUAUGCUGAAGGCUAUUUG
rnacentral:misc_RNA from 1 species